AUUGAACGCUGGCGGCAGGCUUAACACAUGCAAGUCGAGCGGAGAUGAGGUGCUUGCACCUUAUCUUAGCGGCGGACGGGUGAGUAAUGCUUAGGAAUCUGCCUAUUAGUGGGGGACAACAUUCCGAAAGGAAUGCUAAUACCGCAUACGUCCUACGGGAGAAAGCAGGGGAUCUUCGGACCUUGCGCUAAUAGAUGAGCCUAAGUCGGAUUAGCUAGUUGGUGGGGUAAAGGCCUACCAAGGCGACGAUCUGGAGCGGGUCUGAGAGGAUGGUCCGCCACACUGGGACUGAGACACGGCCCAGACUCCUACGGGAGGGAGCAGUGGGGAAUAUUGGACAAUGGGGGAAACCCUGAUCCAGCCAUGCCGCGUGUGUGAAGAAGGCCUUAUGGUUGUAAAGCACUUUAAGCGAGGAGGAGGCUACUGAGACUAAUACUCUUGGAUAGUGGACGUUACUCGCAGAAUAAGCACCGGCUAACUCUGUGCCAGCCGCCGCCGUAA
rnacentral:rRNA from 1 species